GAUGAACGCUGGCGGCGUGCCUAAUACAUGCAAGUCGAGCGAACAGACGAGGAGCUUGCUCCUCUGACGUUAGCGGCGGACGGGUGAGUAACACGUGGAUAACCUACCUAUAAGACUGGGAUAACUUCGGGAAACCGGAGCUAAUACCGGAUAAUAUAUUGAACCGCAUGGUUCAAUAGUUAAAGACGGUUUUGCUGUCACUUAUAGAUGGAUCCGCGCCGCAUUAGCUAGUUGGUAAGGUAACGGCUUACCAAGGCAACGAUGCGUAGCCGACCUGAGAGGGUGAUCGGCCACACUGGAACUGAGACACGGUCCAGACUCCUACGGGAGGCAGCAGUAGGGAAUCUUCCGCAAUGGGCGAAAGCCUGACGGAGCAACGCCGCGUGGGUGAUGAAGGUCUUCGGAUCGUAAAACUCUGUUAUUAGGGAAGAACAAAUGUGUAAGUAACUAUGCACGUCUUGACGGUACCUAAUCAGAAAGCCACGGCUAACUACGUG
rnacentral:rRNA from 1 species